ensembl:lncRNA
UGCUCAGAACGCUGGCUUCUGCCCCGCUGGGGUUUCAGGGCUCUCAGUCCUCUUCCUGUGCACCCGGAGGCGGUGGGUCAGCAGGGCUGUGCUAACAGGAAGGCCUGUGAUGUUUGCAAUCAAGCCAUUAUGAAGUCAAGAAUGGAGCUUCCAUUUUUAAAGAAUUCAGAGGGGGCAGAUCUUGAUUGACAUCUCAUCUGGGGUCACCUGGUCUUCAAUUGAGAGAUCUUUUGGUUCGCCAUGGAUGCCUCUUGCAGUUAUGGAAGCUUCCCUGACCAGAGGUCGUUUUGAAUUUCCUUCUCUGGAAUUUGACCACUGAGCAGAGACACAUAGGAGAGAAGAUGUGAGUGCUGAGUCAUCAAUCAGCAUCCCUGGGAAGAAAAAGCCUCUCAGUUUCUUCUGCUGGGACUCCCAGAGCUGGAGUAUUUUCUGCUCUUCCUAAGAAAAACCAGGCACAGGGAGUAACUGAGCUCAUUGAAUUAUUUGCUAAGUGGAAGCAAAGCAGUUCUUCAGUCAUGACAGACAAGAUGCCUAUGGAGAUGAUCUGGCUGAACUCUUUAUUGGAAACCAUUUGAAAUUUCUUUGCUUUCCUAAAGGUAUGAAAUUAUUGAGAGAUAUUUCUGAAUAAAUAUGACUUUGUACAAUUUCUUCUUCA